rnacentral:rRNA from 1 species
GACGAACGCUGGCGGCGUGCUUAACACAUGCAAGUCGAACGAUGAAGAAGAGAAACGCGAACUUCGGUUCAAAUUUCACUUCGGAUUAGUGGCAGACGGGUGAGUAACGCGUGAGCAACCUACCUCUUACAAAGGGAUAGACUCGGGAAACCGUGAUUAAUACCAUAUGACACAUUCAUAAGGCAUCUUAAGAAUCUUAAAGCUACGGCGGUAAGGGAUGGGCUCGCGUCCCAUUAGCUAGUUGGUGAGGUAACGGGCCACGAAGGCGACGAUGGGUAACCGGGCUGUGAGGGUGAACGGACACACUGGAACUGGGACACAGUCCAAACUCCUAGAGGAGGCAGCAGUGGGGAAUCUUGCACAAUGGAGGGGACUCAGAUGCAGCGACGCCUCGUGAGCGAUUAAGUAAUUCGUUUCGUACAGCUCUGUUCUAUGGGAAGAAACGGACUGUACCAAAGGAGAAAGCCCCGGCUAAAUACGUG